rnacentral:rRNA from 1 species
UAACCUGCCCAAGAGAUCGGGAUAACACCUGGAAACAGAUGCUAAUACCGGAUAACAACAGAUGAUGCCUAUCAACUGUUUAAAAGAUGGUUNUGCUAUCACUCUUGGAUGGACCUGCGGUGCAUUAGCUAGUUGGUAGGGUAACGGCCUACCAAGGCGAUGAUGCAUAGCCGAGUUGAGAGACUGAUGGCCACAUUGGGACUGAGACACGGCCCAAACUCCUACGGGAGGCAGCAGCU